UACGUAGGGUGCAAGCGUUGUCCGGAAUUAUUGGGCGUAAAGAGCUCGUAGGCGGUCUGUCACGUCGGCUGUGAAAACCCGAGGCUCAACCUCGGGCCUGCAGUCGAUACGGGCAAACUAGAGUGUUGCAGGGGAGACUGGAAUUCCUGGUGUAGCGGUGAAAUGCGCAGAUAUCAGGAAGAACACCCGUGGCGAAGGCGGCUCUCUGGUACGUGACUGACGCUGAGACGCGAAAGCGUGGGGAGCGAACAGG
rnacentral:rRNA from 1 species